UGAGAUAACAGCCCACCAAGGCGAGGAUGCGUAGCCGAACUGAGAGGUUGAACGGCCACAUUGGAACUGAGACACGGUCCAAACUCCUACGGGAGGCAGCAGUAAGGAGUAUUCGGCAAUGGGGGAAACCCUGACCGAGCAACGCCGCGUGAGUGAUGACGGCCCUAUGGGUUGUAAAGCUCUGUUAUAAGGGACGAAUAGCUUUGCUAGGAAAUGAGCAGAGUCUGACGGUACUUUAUCAGAAAGCCACGGCUAACUACGUGCCAGCAGCCGCGGUAAUACGUAGGUGGCAAGCGUUAUCCGGAAUUAUUGGGCGUAAAGAGUGAGCAGGCGGCAGAUUAAGUUUGAGGUUAAAGCGUGGGGCUCAACCCCAUAAAGCCUUGAAAACUGAUCAGCUAGAGUACGAGAGAUGUGAAGGGAACUCCAUGUGUAGCGGUGAAAUGCGUAGAUAUAUGGAAGAACACCAGUGGCGAAGGCGCUUCACAAGCUCGAAACUGACGCUCAGUCACGAAAGCGUGGGUAGCAAAUAGGAUUAGAUACCCUAGUAGUCCACGCUGUAAACUAUGAGAACUAAAUAUUGCCGCGAGGCAGUGUUGAAGCUAACGCAUUAAGUUCUCCGCCUGGGGAGUACGGUCGCAAGACUGAAACUUAAAGGAAUUGACGGGGGCCCGCACAAGCAGUGGAGCAUGCGGAUUAUUUCGACGCAACGCGAAGACCUUACCAAGAUUUGACAUGGGAACUAAAGCCCUAGGAAUAGGGUCAUAUCAGUCUACACAGGUGGUGCAUGGUUGUCGUCAGCUCGUGUC
rnacentral:rRNA from 1 species